rnacentral:lncRNA from 1 species
GUGUGGGCGGUGGGACAGCCCCAGGAUAUGAUCAGGCACUUGUCUUUCUGAUCUACCAUCUGGAACUUGCCUUUCCCUAGAUGACUCCACAUACCCAAACAGCUGCUGAAUCUCCAGUAGAUGAAGAAUCUAUAUUCUUCAUCUUGACAGUAGGAGGAGGGGGAACAAAAAAUUCUGCACUGCUUUGCUGUGCAGUGCUGUUCUGAAGUUAAUGUGAUUGUUGCCAUCAGGGAAGGAACAGAAUGUGGAUGUCAGAGCCUUUGCCAAAAGCCAACGGCAUUCUCAGUUCUCCAAACCCAGACCUUGGGUUCAUAUGAUCAGUGCUAGAGGUCAACUGUAUGGAAAGACUGUCCCAUCUUCAGAGAGAGGUUUUCAUCACUUAUAUAUCGUUCAACCUCUAAAAAAAGACUGACAACUGCUGGCUGCCAGCAACACAGAACAUAUCAGACACCACGGAGAGGAGGCUCGAGGUGGUCGGGUCAGAGCCAGGUCCCAAGACACCUUCCUCUGUCCACUGAAUAGUUAACUGGCACCUUAAAUUAUUUUAAACGUAAAAGGUGAGAGGCCCGUGGCUGCAAUUGCUUCAAGGAGAGUAGAGGGGCUAGCGUCUGCCUCUUGAGAUAGAUCUUGUUGACAGAUGCCUUGUCCCUCUGCUUGCUGCUGUGUUUCCAGUCCUGUCAACCUUGUUGUUGUUCACAUCUACAGCUAUGAAUAAAGACAACUCACAUGCCCCACAGCACUGGUAUUAUAGGAGUGGGCUUCUGGACGUGGGAUCUAGCACCCAUAACUGUUCUCAGAGAGGCUUCUGGAAGGACCACGGGUUCUGAGUGAGGACCACACAGUCAAGUCCUGGCACUCGACAGUUGCACCCCAGAGACACUACAAUGUCAUCUCCACCCAGACAGCUCUUCCCUGUGUACUGGCUGAGGAGGCUUCAGUGGAUCUAGAGUCACAUUACCAUAUAGGACAGCCAGUUUGUGGCUUUUGUCAAUACCACCUAGAAGUACAAUUACAAAACUUGACUACUGACCAAUCUAUAAAA